CCUACGGGUGGCAGCAGUGGGGAAUAUUGCGCAAUGGGCGAAAGCCUGACGCAGCGACGCCGCGUGAGGGAUGAAGGUCUUCGGAUCGUAAACCUCUGUCAGCAUGGAAGAACGGUCACUGUGCUAAUCAGCAGUGAAUUGACGGUACCUGCAAAGGAAGCACCGGCUAACUCCGUGCCAGCAGCCGCGGUAAUACGGAGGGUGCGAGCGUUAAUCGGAAUUACUGGGCGUAAAGCGCUCGUAGGCGGUAUGUCAAGUCAAGGGUGAAAUCCCCGCGCUCAACGUGGGAACUGCCUUUGAAACUGGCAAACUGGAGUAUGGGAGAGGUGAGUGGAAUUCCAGGUGUAGGAGUGAAAUGCGUAGAUAUCUGGAGGAACAUCAGUGGCGAAGGCGACUAUCUGGCACAUAACUGACGCUGAGGAGCGAAAGCGUGGGUAGCAAACAGGAUUAGAUACCCGAGUAGUC
rnacentral:rRNA from 1 species